CACAUGCAGUCGAGCGGAUGAGAGGAGCUUGCUCCUGGAUUCAGCGGCGGACGGGUGAGUAAUGCCUAGGAAUCUGCCUGGUAGUGGGGGACAACGUUUCGAAAGGAACGCUAAUACCGCAUACGUCCUACGGGAGAAAGCAGGGGACCUUCGGGCCUUGCGCUAUCAGAUGAGCCUAGGUCGGAUUAGCUAGUUGGUGAGGUAAUGGCUCACCAAGGCGACGAUCCGUAACUGGUCUGAGAGGAUGAUCAGUCACACUGGAACUGAGACACGGUCCAGACUCCUACGGGAGGCAGCAGUGGGGAAUAUUGGACAAUGGGCGAAAGCCUGAUCCAGCCAUGCCGCGUGUGUGAAGAAGGUCUUCGGAUUGUAAAGCACUUUAAGUUGGGAGGAAGGGCAGUAAAUUAAUACUUUGCUGUUUUGACGUUACCGACAGAAUAAGCACCGGCUAACUCUGUGCCAGCAGCCGCGGUAAUACAGAGGGUGCAAGCGUUAAUCGGAAUUACUGGGCGUAAAGCGCGCGUAGGUGGUUCGUUAAGUUGGAUGUGAAAUCCCCGGGCUCAACCUGGGAACUGCAUUCAAAACUGUCGAGCUAGAGUAUGGUAGAGGGGGUGGGUGGAAAUUUCCUGGUGUAGCGGUGAAAUGCGUAGAUAUAGGAAGGAACACCAGUGGCGAAUCGACCACCUGGACUGAUACUGAC
rnacentral:rRNA from 1 species